GCCUGGCCCCGCAGUGGGCCGCACCGCCCGCGCUCAGGGCGGGCUCGGCGGGCUUUUUCCGCCGGAGCAGCGCCGCAGCCCGCCAGCCGCCGGCCGCCGACGCGGGAUGCUGCGCUCCACGUCCACCGUCACCCUGCUCUCGGGCGGCGGCGCCAGGGCGCCCAGCAGGCGGGCAAAUGUCUGCAGACUGCGGCUGACGGUACCCCCCGAGAGUCCAGCCUUGGAGCCAGGUGAAAAGAAACUUGAAAGAAAAGAACAACUCCCUGAACUAAGCAAUGGAGAACCAACCAGGAAACUUCCUCAGGGUGUUGUCUAUGGCGUGGUGCGGAGAUCAGAUCCAAACGAGCAGAAAGAAAUGGUGGUAUAUGGGUGGUCCACCAACCAGCUGAAAGAAGAGAUGAACUACAUCAGAGAUGUGAGAGCCACUUUGGAAAAAGUAAGGAAGCGAAUGUAUGGAGACUAUGAUGAAAUGAGACAGAAGAUUCGACAGCUUACCCAGGAAUUGUCAGCUUCACAGGCUCAGCAGGAGUAUCUUGAGAGUCACAUCCAGACACAGUCGUCAGCCCUGGACAGUUUUAAUGCCAUGAACUCAACCUUAACGUCGGACUCCAUUGGCCUGCAGAAAACCCUCGUGGAUGUUACUCUGGAAAAUAGCAACAUUAAGGAUCAAAUCCGAGAUCUGCAGCAGACCUAUGAAGCAUCCAUGGGCCAGCUGCGGGAAAAGCAGAGGCAGUUGGAGGUAGCGCAAGUUGAAAAUCAGCUGUUGAAGAUGAAGGUGGAAUCCUCCCAGGAAGCCAAUGCCGAGGUGAUGAGAGAGAUGACCAGGAAGCUGUACAGCCAGUAUGAGGAAAGGCUGCAGGAGCAGCAGCAGAAGCACAAUGCCGAGAAGGAGGCUCUGCUGGAAGAAACCAAAAGUUUUCUGAAAGCUAUUGAAGAAGCCAAUAAAAAGAUGGAAGCAGCGGAGAUCAGCCUAGUGGAGAAGGACCAGAGGAUUGGAGAGCUGGACAGGCUGAUUGAGCGCAUGGAAAAGGAACGCCAUCAGCUGCAGCUACAGCUUCUGGAGCAUGAAACAGAAAUGUCAGUGGAAAUAACCGAUUCUGACAAGGAAAGGUAUCAGCAGCUGGAAGAGGCAUCUGCCAGCCUCCGUGAACGGAUCAGACACUUAGAUGACAUGGUGCAUUGCCAGCAGAAGAAAGUCAAGCAGAUGGUUGAGGAGAUUGAAUCGUUAAAGAAAAAGGUGCAGCAGAAACAGCUCUUGAUAUUGCAGCUUUUAGAAAAGAUCUCUUUCUUAGAAGGAGAGAAUAAUGAACUACAAAGCAGGUUGGACUAUUUAAUAGAAACCCAGGCCAAGCCUGAGGUGGAGACCAGAGAGAUUGGAGUGGGCUGUGAUCUUCUAACCAGGAUCCAUCUUAGCGCUUUCACUGCAUAGGUCAAUCAGCAGAGGAAAUGAAAGCUACAUAUCCGCAUUUCCGAAAAGGCAGGCCCAACAGGCAGGACUCGUGAAAUUGCGAUGCCUUCCAGGAACUAUACCCCAUACACAAGAGUUCUGGAGUUAACCAUGAAGAAAACCCUGACUUAGGCCCUUGGAAACACACACCUUGUACAGAUGGGCAAAGGCCCUAGAACCGCACAGCUCAAAGUCUGGGAAGGACGGCUGCUGCUUCCCUGUAUACGUGUUUAAGCCAGAAAGGAGCCUGCUGAGGUUCUGAUCUACUUCUAAAACAUGAAGGAAAAGUGAGGUGGAAGGGGAGGGCUGGGGAGAGUGGUUUCGAGGUCAUAUUUCAAACACCCAACCAUGCCCUACUGGGCCGUCAUUAGCUCUCUGAGUAGACACUGAAAUUGUGUCAGGAGAAUUCCCUCACAAUUUAUUUUCUGGUUUACUAGCCUUCGGUUGGGAGGAAAAAGGGCAUUAAUUUGAAAUUUCAUGUUAUUCACGCCAGGAUCAUUUGUUACAGCAUGAAGGCUUUAUUCACCCAUAAAAGUAUUAGAGGCAGUGUUUCUCUGGUGCCGAGAAGCCUGUCCAUGGUGCAGGAGCACCUGGGGAGACCGAACCCUGCCAAGGAAGGGUGCUGUCUCCUCUUGGCACCCAGGAUCUGUGUGGGGUUGCGGGAGCCAUGGCUGGAGAUUGGCCUCCUGCCGGCACAAGUGCCUCAUUCUGAUGUGCUAAUCCUUUGGUUUAAUUUGUGCCUUAUGCCUUCAUGGGGCUUACUGAAAUCUAUGUAUUUAUUUCACCUGUGAUUUUUUUUUCCCUUUCUCACUUUAACUGAAAGAAUUUUGUAUGUUGUGGAAAUAUAAUCAUUUCAUGUUUUCAGUAUCAAUUGGUGUUUUUGUUAAAUAAUUUGUUCAUGCAUGCUCUACUUUGAUAUUAUAACCUAUGUCACAUAUGUUUAAUAAAUGCCAUAUAUUUUGUUCUA